rnacentral:rRNA from 1 species
GACGAACGCUGGCGGCGUGCUUAACACAUGCAAGUCGAACGGAAAGGCCCUGCUUUUGUGGGGUGCACGAGUGGCGAACGGGUGAGUAACACGUGAGUAACCUGCCCUUGACUUUGGGAUAACUUCAGGAAACUGGGGCUAAUACCGGAUAGGAGCUCCUGCUGCAUGGGGGGGGUUGGUAAGUUUCGGCGGUGUGGGAUGGACUCGCGGCUUAUCCGCUUGUUGGUGGGGUAGUGGCUUACAAAGGCCUUGAAGGGUAGCCGGCCUGAGAGGGUGAACGGCCACAUUGGGACUGCGAUACGGCCCAGAAUCCUACGGGAGGCAGCAGUGGGGAAUAUUGCGCAAUGGGCCGAAGUCUGAUGCAGCAACGCCGCGUGCGGGAUGACGGCCUUCGGGUUGUAAACCGCUUUCGCCUGUGCCGAAGCGUGAGUGACGGUAAUGGGUAAAGAAGCACCGGCUAACUACGUG